GCUGCCUCUGAAGUCUAUAUUGGAGGCAGCAGGUGGCAGAGAGUUGAAUGCUGGGUUCAAUUUCAUCAUGCCCAGCAUUCAGC